AUCUUGCGCACGCAUAGGAAUACAUUUCAUUGGAUAGUUUCGUUAGUAUUACGUGCACGCUUAGGGUUACAUUUCAUUAGAUUGUUUCUUCAGUAUCUUACGCACACAAAUGAAUUGCAUUUGUUUCCAUUGAUUCUUCAGUACGCAAAGGAUUACGUUAGUGUCGGAUCAAUCGGAGGAUUUUGGAGAGGAUCACAUGAUUUUCAAGGGGUAAAGGAGGGGAUCAGUCGUCGUCAACAGAAUAUAAAGGUGGGACUACAGAAAAUAUGCUGUCAAUGAACUACCAGUGAGGGGGGGGCGGGAAAAUCAGGUAAAUUUCACCGUGACACAACCAAAAUCAUCCGACCUCCCCCCCCUCUCUCUCAAGACGAUGACUUUGCUGCAUAUGGGACAAGCGCUCUCAGAUUAAAAUUUAAACAAAUGGAAUUUUACUGUUUUAAAUCAUUCGUUAAUGAAACCCACGCAUCGCACUCGCCACUCACCUCCGUUCGCUCGUGUGUACCACGCAGACUGUUCACGCGUGUGUUUGAUGAAGGCAAUGCGAAUGGGUGGAGUCAAAUUUGGAUAUGACAUUUAACGUCCACCGUUUCGGUUGGCUUCGCGUAUCCACGAGUUAGAAACGGUUGAGAUCUGGGAUCAGUGCACCGACAUCGGAAACGACAAGGUUUUGAAGAAUAACGGAUGUUGAAAAUUCAUAUCAAAUUUGUGAUGUAAUCUUUCAUAGGUUACUAUAGAAUUUCAAAUAACGUUUCAAUUUUUUAUCACCACUUCCCCUCCCCCCCAGGUUACUUGAAAAUUUCAAAGAGCCUUUCAAUAUUUAUCACCACUCCCCUUGCCGCCCCCCCCCCUCUAAUCGAGUUAUUCUCUCCCCUCUCCCUUGCAUCAUUUAGCAUCCUUCCUUGAGGGAUCAACUGCGCGAUCUCUUUUCCAAUCGUUCCUAUUACGCUCACUGCGCGGUGAAUCAAUGAUGCCUUCUCUUUACUUUGUGUUCUUUAAAUCUCGUUUUCCUUUACAAGGAUUAAGAAAGCGUUCGAUGUAUACCAGUGAUGUUUCUCUUUUCUUUAAGGGAAACACUAAUUGCACCAUCUUCAUAUUUGCGUUCUUUUUAUCGUACGCUACCUUUAGUAAACAGCAAUGUGUCUUCUUCAUUGCUUGCUUUAGUCAGCUAUUUAUACAAUGAAGACAUGAGCAUUUUUACAAUGCAGUUACACAUAUUUUAUUCCUUUUUUCCAAGUAUGAAUUCGUCACACACAAAGCCUCUUAUUUAUCUUGAUUUCUCAUUAGCGAGAGCGGGCGGGCAAAUAAAUCUCUGCACGUAUUCAGUGACGUUUCAGCAGAUUAUUGGCUGCAGUUGUUAAUCCAUAUUAAUAAGAAUAUGUAGAAUUUUCAGCAAACCACACCGUCCGUCGGAGAGGGAAGGCGUGCCGUCUGUAGUGCCGAAGAUAAAGUUGAACUCUGGAAGGAUGAAAGCGCUAGACCAGGAAAGAAGAGCAACGACAUCCCGUCUUCUGUUACUACAACCAAAGGAAAAGCAAAGAUAUCAGAAGAAUGGAAGGAUAAAGUUUCUGGUCAAGAGAAGACAUUAGAAUCACUGAACUUUCAGUGAAUAUUGCAAAGAUAAGAACUUUGAAAUUAUUACGUAACAGUAGCAAAAAUGGUGGCUCUCUAAAUGUCCUGUUACUGUAAGAAGUCUUUAUUAUUCCAUCAAUGGACAUGGAAUGGAUAAAACGUGAUUUCAUGGCCUAGGUGAAUAUUUGUGUACACGCCACCAUUUUUGGAAUAGUAUGUUGUGUAACGGAUUGUUAAGCAGACCUCGAGCGAUCUUUUGAUGAACUGAGAACCACUAGCUAUAAUUUGGUCCAGUUUGUCUCAGAUUAUCUCGCUUCGUCAAAUUAACCAAAAGCACAAUUGGAAAUUUAUUUAAACCUGGCUGCGGAAAGCUGGAUCUAAAAUUGUCAGUUUAUUUCAAAGCACUGAUCGCUCAUUUUUGAUUUUGCUUUACAAUUUGUUUCGCAGUUGUAUUUCAGUUGAUGUCGCACAAAGUUGAGAUUUGUUAAGGUGGCACUUAAAGUGAAGACCGAGUGAAAUCUAAAAUUAAAAUAUAUUAAUAAGUUGGAUCAAUUUCAAUCGUCAAAGAUCACAUUGCUGAACGCCAUCGACUAACAAUACGACUGUAUCAAUAACCAGUUCGCCACUCUGUGUUAGUCUUGUAUUGCAUCAACAAUCUUCAGCGACUGACGUUAAAAGCUAGUUUACCAACUUAGAUUAGACUCUCCUCAACCGAUGACAACAACUACUGGCACCUUUAAAAGAAAGUAAACAUGGGCACAGACAGAACAAACAAAACAAACUAACCUGACCGACCCUACCCACUGAUCAAAACUGACUUAUCAACCGUCGAACGCUGUUGAGUCUGACAGCCACUUAAUUGCAGUACUGAUUAAUCAGUUUUACGAACGAAAAUUGCAAUUUUCGACUCGCACAGAACAGUCCUUUUUUUAGGACUACUCUCACUGGACGAUCGGAAAACACGAAUGGCUCCAAAACACAUUGAUCCAACUGAAAAUUCAAUCUCGGCAUGACCUGAAUUAAAGUUAUUUAACAAGUUUUGUUCAGAAAAGAAAACAUUUGUUUUCCAUGCAUGGAGCAAAAAAAAUCACCGAGUGCCAUCUUAGAUUUUUUUAUAUGCAACUUUGUGUCAUCAUCUGAGUUCCGUUUUAUUUUGAUAGUGUUGUGGUUUAAAACUGUAAUGCCUGGUCACGAGCUUUUUCGAAAAUUGAUUUAGUUGAGAUUUGCCUAGAUAUAAACCAGUUUAAAUCGACUCCUUUGUCAAAGAAAUAAAGAUUUUCAUGUUUCAAAUCAAUAGUCCAUACGAUAGAAAUGAACGUAUUUACUUGUUUUGCAAAUCGCCGAAAAAUCAUUCACAGAUUAAGCGAAAAUCAAUCUGAAUGUACGAGCAAACUUUUACCAGUGCAUAUGAAAUACGACUAUUGACAAACAAGCAUACUUGUCUCGUACGAACAGAAAAAAUAAGAAGCUAAAUCAUUUUCUACUCGUGCAAUGAUUUGGAAUUUUGUUCAGCCUCGAUAAUUUUUCUCAACAAACGUGCGAAUCGGGAAUGCAAAUUGCAUUGUUUUCUAAAUCAUAUCAGCUAUACGAUGUUUUCUUGUUGAAUUUUUUCGAAUAUUGAUGAUGAUGAAUAUAUUUUCUUGUUAUGAAUUCAAAAGUUGAGAAAAAAAAACACAUUGAUUUUACGAAAACGAACGGCGAACCAAAGAGGCAAAGUAGUUGGGUACAAAUUAAAGUUUAUGGAUGAAAAUGAGUGUAUUGUAUCGUCGCUCAGAAAAAUUAGUUCUUUUUUAUAUAUAGACUGCAACCGUUCUCUUUUAACUGGUAAAACAGUAAAUGGUCUGAACCGGGGAGGGGAGGGGAGGGUAACAUGUGAUAGUGUAGUCGCCCGCGGGCAACGAGAAAGGUGAUGUAAACAGUUACAUUGCUGAACAUCAUCGACUUACAAACCACACUGUUGACUGGGACCCUGCACAACGCCUAACCUACUUUCAUAGUUUGACUCGGAAAAGCUGGUUUAUUAACUUAGAACAGACUCCCCUCAACAGGUGUCAGCUACUUCACAACAUUAACUUUACAAACGAAGAGAACGACCAACUUUCCGACGGGUCGAAACUGACCUAUCACGACCGACUCCUGCCACUUGAGUCUUGUAGCCAAUACUGACCAAUCAGUUUCUACGAACCAGACUAAGAACAACUAUUCACUUGACUCUGAUGAUGACUUCCGCACAGGUUGUCGAAACGUCAGUCACCACUACCGACAACAGUCCUUCUUAGGACUACACUAUCCCAUGGUUUUUAUAUAAAGUUGUUUUAUUAAAAAUAGUUUUCUGGCUAAUCCACAAAACAAACAUUGGUUGUUUUAAAGACCAGGCAUUUGGUUUUAAAAUAUAGCGUAGUUAAUUUAUUUUAAGUGGAAGUAAGAUCUUUUCUGUAGUCAGUCGGUGUAACACAGGAGUACAGCAAAAAAGUUGACAAAAAUGUGAAUUUUUCAUCUUAAAGUUCAGUUUUUAAUUGCAAUAAAAGAAAAAUUGAACAAAUCUCGCUGAAGGAAAUUGCUGUAAGUACCUUGGAGCCAAAAAUCAAAUUAAAAAGGUUCGCUCGACUUGCCUCUCGAAUUUGGUUUAUUAGACAUGGAGCCUACAUAGCUAAAAUAAAAUUGAAAUAGAUUACUCUAACAAUUGAUAGACUUGCUACUAUGGUACAUCAAAAGUCUGAUUGUAAAAUGUCUUCGCUCACGUGGCGAAAUUAAAUUCAGAGUAUGAUCCAAUAAGUAAGUUUUUUCUUUCAUUUGAAUUUUAAAAAACAAUUUUGAAUUGAUAAAUUCAGUGUAGUCUUGUUUCGGUGCUUAUACAACCUAUAUCCUGUGUUACAAUCGUAAACUGACGAAGUUAAAGAUCAUUUGUUCCGAAAAAGCAUCAUGGCAAGCUGUACACUAGAGAAAAAGCAAACGUAACUUUACAAAUUGAUGACCAUUUGGCGAUAAAUUUUAUAUUACUAAUUGGACUCUAUAGUUUGCCAUGAUGCUGUUUCGUCCACAAAUUCCACUCAUCAUCUCGUGCAAAGAAUUGAAGAUUUCAAAAAGAAAGAAACAAAUUGGCUAAGAGAUGGACAAAGUCGAAUCAAAAUUUCAUUUAAAAGUAACGGAACUUAGCAUUUUCGUUUGCUCCUCGAUUUUUUACACGAGAUGCUACUUGAUUAUAUUUUGGCGGGAAAUUUCGGAGGGAGCCUUUUUGAAUUUUUUGCGGAAAAGGAAGCUAGGGGAAACUCUGUGCAAAUUGGUCCAAAUUUUCCCGCCAAAAGUCUUAGUAUAUACACGAAAAGUUUUCCCCUGACACUUUU